UGGGGAAUUUUGGACAAUGGGCGCAAGCCUGAUCCAGCCAUGCCGCGUGCGGGAAGAAGGCCUUCGGGUUGUAAACCGCUUUUGUCAGGGAAGAAAUCCUUUGAGUUAAUACCUCGGGGGGAUGACGGUACCUGAAGAAUAAGCACCGGCUAACUACGUGCCAGCAGCCGCGGUAAUACGUAGGGUGCGAGCGUUAAUCGGAAUUACUGGGCGUAAAGCGUGCGCAGGCGGUCUUGCAAGACAGGUGUGAAAUCCCCGGGCUUAACCUGGGAACUGCACUUGUGACUGCAAGGCUGGAGUACGGCAGAGGGGGAUGGAAUUCCGCGUGUAGCAGUGAAAUGCGUAGAUAUGCGGAGGAACACCGAUGGCGAAGGCAAUCCCCCGGGCCUGUACUGACGCUCAUGCACGAAAGCGUGGGGAGCAAACAGGAUUAGAUACCCUGGUAGUCCACGCCCUAAACGAUGUCAACUGGUUGUUGGACGGCUUGCUGUUCAGUAACGAAGCUAACGCGUGAAGUUGACCGCCUGGGGAGUACGGCCGCAAGGUUG
rnacentral:rRNA from 1 species